rnacentral:rRNA from 1 species
AUUGAACGCUAGCGGCAUGCUUUACACAUGCAAGUCGAACGAGUGGCGGACGGGUGAGUAAUAUAUCGGACCGUGCCCUGUAGCGGGGGAUAACUACUCGAACGAGUGGCUAAUCCCGCAUACUAUUGGAGCGGCCGAUAUGGGAUUAGCUAGUUGCUGGGGUAAAGGCUCACCAAGUCAACGAUCCAUAGCGGGUUUGAGAGGAGGACCGGCCACACUGGGACUGAGACACGGCCCAGACUCCUACGGGAGGCAGCAGUGGGGAAUUUUGGACAAUGGGGGAAACCCUGAUCCAGCCAUCCCGCGUGAAUGAGAAGGCCUUCGGGUUGUAAAGUACUUUUGGCAGAGAAGCGGUAUCUGCAGAAUAAGCACCGGCUAACUACGUGCCAGCAGCCGCGGUAAUAC